rnacentral:rRNA from 1 species
GCCUAACACAUGCAAGUCGAACGUGCCUGUUUUUGGUAGCAAUAUUGAGAACAGGAAAGUGGCGAACGGGUGAGUAACACGUAGGUAAUCUGCCUCUGGGAUGGGGAAAACUCAGGGAAACUUGAGUUAAUACCCAAUAAGCCCACGCUCCGGGAGGGGUGCGGGAAAAAGGCGCAAGUCGCCUGGAGAUGAGCCUGCGGCCUAUCAACUAGUUGGUGGGGUAACAGCCUACCAAGGCGAAGACGGGUAACCGGCCUGAGAGGGUGAACGGUCACACUGGGACUGAGACACGGCCCAGACUCCUACGGGAGGCAGCAGUGAGGAAUUUUCCGCAAUGGGCGCAAGCCUGACGGAGCGACGCCGCGUGAAGGAUGAAGGCUUUCGGGUCGUAAACUUCUUUUGUGGGGGACAAGUUGAUGAUGGUACUCCACGAAUAAGCCCCGGCUAACUACGUGCCAGCAGCCGCCGUAAUAC